CAUUCACGGAGAGUUUGAUCCUGGCUCAGGACGAACGCUGGCGGCGUGCUUAACACAUGCAAGUCGAACGAUGAA
rnacentral:rRNA from 2 species